GAUGAACGCUGGCGGCGUGCCUAAUACAUGCAAGUCGAGCGAACAGAUGAGGAGCUUGCUCCUCUGACGUUAGCGGCGGACGGGUGAGUAACACGUGGAUAACCUACCUAUAAGACUGGGAUAACUUCGGGAAACCGGAGCUAAUACCGGAUAAUAUAUUGAACCGCAUGGUUCAAUAGUGAAAGACGGUUUUGCUGUCACUUAUAGAUGGAUCCGCGCCGCAUUAGCUAGUUGGUAAGGUAACGGCUUACCAAGGCAACGAUGCGUAGCCGACCUGAGAGGGUGACCGGCCCCACUGGAACUGAGACACGGUCCAGACUCCUACGGGAGGCAGCAGUAGGGAAUCUUCCGCAAUGGGCGAAAGCCUGACGGAGCAACGCCGCGUGAGUGAUGAAGGUCUUCGGAUCGUAAAACUCUGUUAUUAGGGAAGAACAAAUGUGUAAGUAACUAUGCACGUCUUGACGGUACCUAAUCAGAAAGCCACGGCUAACUACGUG
rnacentral:rRNA from 1 species